AUGGACAAAGUGUUGGUUGUAGAAUCUGGCUGCCGGAUGUCCAGAAAACAACAUCUUUUCCACCACACCACGUUUCCUUGCAAAUUACCCCUCACAGGCUGUGGGAAAUGCCUUACAGGGGUUAAGACCAUGGACUCAGCCAGACUUAUAAGAUCUGUGACCCGGGGCAAGUUAUGUAACCUUUUGUACUUUCAUUUUCUUAUCUGUAAAUUAGGAAUGAAAUGGCCCCAACCUCACGGCGUUGUUGUGAAGUGUAGCUGGGUUAACUAUGUAUAUAACAUUUCAACAGCAGGCCGGGCACCGAGUGAAGUGCUGUGCACGUAUUUGCUGUUAAAAUCUGACGGUCUCUUCAUCUACGGACUUUCCAUGUGA
rnacentral:lncRNA from 1 species